UGUAGUUCACAUGAUCCAAGCCACAUGUCAAGAAAACAGAGGCGCGCAUCAUAAAAAGGAGCGGUUGUAGUUCACAUGAUCCAAACCACAUGUCAGAGAGAACAGAGGCGCAUCAUAAAAAGGAGCGGUUGUAGUUCACAUUCCACAAAGCCAGGAGGGAAGAGCUGGGGAGACACUUCAGUCAGAUAAGUGCUUGCCUUGCUUGCAAGCAUGUGGAUCUCAAUCCAAUUUUAUGUAAAACACCUUGUAUGCAAUAUACCCUUGUACCCCAGGUCUGUGAAGACAAGAACAGGAUCCUGGAUGAUCACUAGCUGGCCUACUCCGUGAGUUUUCUAGGCUGGGCUGGGGUUGACACCAGAGUGUUACGUGUGAUAAGCAAGAGUUCCACAACUGAACUCUCCUCCCUACCCUUAAAGCCUACUUUAAAGAUCAAGCAGACUUCUCUUUAAGGUAUCUCAGAGCCAGGCACGGUAAUAAACACCUUUAAUCCCAGCACUUGGAUGGCAGAGGCAGAUGGAUCUCUGUGAGUUCAAGGC